CUUGACAUCCAGAGAAUUUAGCAGAGAUGCUUUAGUGCCUUCGGGAACUCUGAGACAGGUGCUGCAUGGCUGUCGUCAGCUCGUGUUGUGAAAUGUUGGGUUAACGUCCGCAACGAGCGCAACCCUUAUCCUUUGUGCCAGCACGUAAUGGUGGGAACUCAAAGGAGACUGCCGGUGAUAAACCGGAGGAAGGUGGGGAUGACGUCAAGUCAUCAUGGCCCUUACGAGUAGGGCUACACACGUGCUACAAUGGCGUAUACAAAGAGAAGCGACCUCGCGAGAGCAAGCGGACCUCAUAAAGUGCGUCGUAGUCCGGAUUGGAGUCUGCAACUCGACUCCAUGAAGUCGGAAUCGCUAGUAAUCGUAAAUCAGAAUGUUACGGUGAAUACGUUCCCGGGCCUUGUACACACCGCCCGUCACACCAUGGGAGUGGGUUGCAAAAGAAGUAGAUAGCUUAACCUUCGGGAGGGCGUUUACCACUUUGUGAUUCAUGACUGGGGUGAAGUCGUAACAAGGUAAGCGUAGUGCU
rnacentral:rRNA from 1 species